GGUUUUUAUUCAAAGUACAAUUAAUAAAUAAUAAAAUAAUACACUUGAUAAGGAUGAAUACCUGGAUGGUUAUGAUAAUACCAGAUAUGGUGUGUGGAGAUUGAUAAUUGGGAAAUGUAUACGGGAUAUUAUAAAGUGAACGUUAAACCCACAUCUACUGCCUCAGUCAAAAUACUGGGUAACAUGCAAAAACAAUGAUUACACAGAAUAAGUAAAACUAGCUUAAUUUUGAUUAUAGAAUAAAAGUAUCAAUUAAGAAAUAUAUAGAGAAUAAUAUUUUGGAAGGAUUAUCAUGUUUUUUGAAUAAUGUACUCUUAAAAAUUAGCUAUUUAAAAAGAAAACAAUUCUGUUAAUUUUUUAUAUCAAACUGUAUAUUUUGAACCAAAAGCCCCAUGACAUUUCCUGCACAAUAUAUAUUGUUCUCCAUAAAUUUCAUAGUUAGUACUUUUACUAUAAAAUCAAAAUUUAGCUAAUUUUACUUAUUCUGCUUAAUUAUUUUUGGCAUGUUAACCAGUAGUUGAACUGACAGUAAAUGCGGGUAUAACGUCCUCUUAAGACUAGAAUGUUGUGCAUACUUAUUAUUAUACACAAAAAUGCUCAUAUUCUGCAAACUAAGGUUGACUGGUUUUACAAAACACAAAAAAGAGUACGAGAGUUUAUGCAGUCAAUGAACUAUUAUAAUUUUAAUGGAAAUUCUUAUCAUUAAAAAUGUGAAAUUAAUUGUUAAAUUUUAAAAAACUGGGAAUAUUUGAAUAACCACAUCUAAUAGGAUCAACUAGCAAUUAUUAUUUUAAUAUUGAAUUGUGAUAGUGUUAUUUUAAAAACAAACGUUAUUCUUAUCUAGGCUUAUCUUUCAGAAAUUAUUCAUAUUCUUUUAUUAUUCUAUCAAUUAUUUGUAUUAUCACAAGUAGUUGUGCGAUUAAUAAUUCAACACUAAGCAUACAUAGUAUACAAAUAACACA